UACGAAGGGGGCUAGCGUUGUUCGGAAUUACUGGGCGUAAAGCGUGCGCAGGCGGUUCUCCAAGUCCGUUGUGAAAGCCCUGGGCUCAACCCAGGAACUGCAUUUGAAACUCCCUUUCUUGAGUGUCGGAGAGGAAAGCGGAAUUCCUGGUGUAGAGGUGAAAUUCGUAGAUAUCAGGAGGAACACCGGUGGCGAAGGCGGCUUUCUGGACGACAACUGACGCUGAGACGCGAAAGCGUGGGGAGCAAACAGG
rnacentral:rRNA from 1 species